UACGUAGGUGGCAAGCGUUGUCCGGAUUUAUUGGGUUUAAAGGGUGCGUAGGCGGCCCUGUAAGUCAGUGGUGAAAUACUCCAGCUUAACUGGAGGGGUGCCAUUGAUACUGCAGGGCUUGAGUGGAGUCGAAGUAGGCGGAAUUGACGGUGUAGCGGUGAAGUGCUUAGAUAUCGUCAAGAACACCGAUAGUGAAGACAGCUUACUAGGCUUCUACUGACGCUGAGGCACGAAAGUGUGGGGAUCAAACAGG
rnacentral:rRNA from 1 species